rnacentral:rRNA from 1 species
UACGAGGGGGGCGAGCGUUGUUCGGAAUUAUUGGGCGUAAAGGGCGCGUAGGCGGCUUGGCAAGUGGAUGGUGAAAUCCCUCGGCUUAACCGAGGAACUGCCGUCCAAACUGCUUAGCUUGAGACCGGGAGAGGUGAGUGGAAUUCCCAGUGUAGCGGUGAAAUGCGUAGAUAUUGGGAGGAACACCAGUGGCGAAGGCGGCUCACUGGACCGGUACUGACGCUGAUGCGCGAAAGCGUGGGGAGCAAACGGG